rnacentral:lncRNA from 1 species
NNNNNNNCAGCGGUGCCCGACACCGCCCAUGCUCCUUUGCCAGCGGUGCCUACCGCUCCAGCGCGUGCACCAGCGAGGCCCGUCACCACACCCACGCCGGUUCCUGCACCCAGGACUAAGUUUGCCCAGGUCUGCCCCAAGGCCCCCGGACUCCAGCCCAAGAAAUUUGCCCAGGCUGGAUCCACGAACUACCCCUCUGACUUUAGCCAGUCCUGGGCAUCCCCAGGUCUUUCUUGUCCCCAUGUCGCUCCCCGUUCUAGUCCCCGUGUCUGUCUAUGUUCCGGUUCCUGUCCUGUCUGGUGUGUCUGUGCCUGUUCCUGUCACCGUUUUCGUGUCUGUUCCUGUCAAUGUUUUUGUUCCCGUUCCCAUGUUUAGUCCUGUGCAGUCACCUGUCAUGUUUCACGUCCAGUCAUCGUCCCCUGUCCAGUUUCCCGUCCAGUCUCCGGUCUCGCCCAUGUCCAGUCCUGUCCAGUCACCUGUCAUGUCUCACGUCCAGUCAUCGUCCCUGUCCAGUUUCCUGUCCAGUUUCCUGUCUCGCCCAAUGUCCAGUCUCCAGUCACGUCCCCGGUUCAGUCUCCUUUCUUUGUCCAGUCUUUUGUCCAAUCUCCUGUUUUGCCUCAUGUCAAGUCCCCGGUCUCGUCUCUUGUUUUUCCUGGCCCCGGGGUUCGUUUUUAUGCGCCUUGGGAGCUGCGCGUUUAGGGAGGGGCUUCUGUCACGGCCUCGCCAUGUUUCCCUGUGUUUUCCCCAUUUCCUAGUGUGUUUCUCCAGUAGUUUUCCGUCAUGUGUGUGUAAUUUGUAGCUCCGCCCCUCGUUACCUGUCUCCCCAGGUGUUCAGUGUUUUAUGUUACUAUAUAUAGUACUAUACAGAGUACUACUAUAUUUAGUCCAUGUUUAUCCGUUGGUCUUUGCACCUUCCUCUGUCGUUUGUCUUGCUACAUUUCUACAGUUUGUUCACGUUUUUUGUUACGCUCAGUUUAUCUCUUGUUUAUUUCUAGUUCCUAGUUUAUUACGUUUAUUCCCUUGUUUAUUCCUUGUUUUGUACAUAUUUACGUAUUUAUC